GGCAGGUAGCCUAGUGGUUAGAGGCAGGUAGCCUAGUGGUUAGAGACAGGUAGCCUAGUGGUUAGAGGCAGGUAGCCUAGUGGUUAGAGACAGGUAGCCUAGUGGUUAGAGACAGGUAGCCUAGUGGUUAGAGGCAGGUAGCCUAGUGGUUAGAGGCAGGUAGCCUAGUGGUUAGAGACAGGUAGCCUAGUGGUUAGAGACAGGUAGCCUAGUGGUUAGAGACAGGUAGCCUAGUGGUUAGAGGCAGGUAGCCUAGUGGUUAGAGGCAGGUAGCCUAGUGGUUAGAGGCAGGUAGCCUAGUGGUUAGAGACAGGUAGCCUAGUGGUUAGAGGCAGGUAGCCUAGUGGUUAGAGACAGGUAGCCUAGUGGUUAGAGACAGGUAGCCUAGUGGUUAGAGACAGGUAGCCUAGUGGUUAGAGGCAGGUAGCAUAGUGGUUAGAGGCAGGUAGCCUAGUGGUUAGA